rnacentral:rRNA from 1 species
AACGAACGCUUGCGGCAUGCCUACCACAUGCAAGCCGACCGAGAUCUUCGGGUCUAGUGGCGCACGGGUGCGUAACGCGUGGGAAUCUGCCCUUUGGUUCGGAAUAACAGUUGGAAACGACUGCUAAUACCGGAUGAUGACGAAAGUCCAAAGAUUUAUCGCCAGAGGAUGAGCCCGCGUAGGUUUAGCUAGUUGGUGAGGUAAAGGCGCACCAAGGCGACGAUCCUUAGCUGGUCUGAGAGGAUGAGCAGCCACACUGGGACUGAGACUAGGCCCGAACUCUUACGGGUGGCAGCAGUGCGGAAGAUUGGUCACUGAGCGUAAGCCUGAUGCAUGAAUGUCGCGUGGGUGAUGAAGGCCGUAGGGUUUUAAAGCUCUUUUGGCCGUGAUGAUAAUGGCAGUACCAGGGGAAUAAGCUCCGGCUAACUGCGUGCCAGCAGCCGCCGUAA